rnacentral:misc_RNA from 1 species
AACGCACAUUGCGCCCCUUGGUAUUCCGAGGGGCAUGCCUGUCCGAGCGUCAUUUACACCACUCAAGCCUGGCUUGGUAUUGGGGUUCGCCCACCAGCGGCCCUUAAACGCAGUGGCGGCGCCGGUUGGCUCUUCGCGUAGUAAUUCUUCUCGCGACAGGGUCCCCCGGUAGCUUGCCAGCAACCCAUACUCUUAAGGUUGGCCUCGGAUCAGGUAGGGAUACCCGCUGAACUUAA